UACAGAGGUCUCAAGCGUUGUUCGGAUUCAUUGGGCGUAAAGGGUGCGUAGGCGGCGCGGUAAGUCGGGUGUGAAAUCUUGGAGCUUAACUCCGAAACUGCAUUCGAUACUGCCGUGCUUGAGGACUGGAGAGGAGACUGGAAUUUACGGUGUAGCGGUGAAAUGCGCAGAUAUCGGGAAGAACACCUAUGGCGAAGGCAGCUCUCUGGGACGGUACUGACGCUGAGACGCGAAAGCGUGGGGAGCGAACAGG
rnacentral:rRNA from 1 species